GACGAACGCUGGCGGCGUGCCUAAUACAUGCAAGUCGAGCGAGACUCUUCGGAGUCUAGCGGCGGACGGGUGAGUAACACGUGGGCAACCUGCCUGUAAGACUGGGAUAACACCGGGAAACCGGUGCUAAUACCGGAUAAUCCUUUUCCUCUCAUGAGGAAAAGCUGAAAGUCGGUUUCGGCUGACACUUACAGAUGGGCCCGCGGCGCAUUAGCUAGUUGGUGAGGUAACGGCUCACCAAGGCGACGAUGCGUAGCUGACCUGAGAGGGUGAUCGGGCACACUGGGACUGAGACACGGCCCAGACUCCUACGGGAGGCAGCAGUAGGGAAUCUUCCACAAUGGACGAAAGUCUGAUGGAGCAACGCCGCGUGAGCGAUGAAGGCCUUCGGGUCGUAAAGCUCUGUUGUUAGGGAAGAACAAGUAUCGGAGUAACUGCCGGUACCUUGACGGUACCUAACCAGAAAGCCACGGCUAACUACGUGCCAGCCGCCGCCGUAAUAC
rnacentral:rRNA from 1 species